GCUGCAACAAUUGCACAAAACCCCUACACAACACUACUACAACUUUCAGUUUAGCAGCUCGAAAUCUGAUACCUUUCGCCGGAGCCCUUCUGAAUGUCCAUUUUCUCUCAAAUUUCACAGUUAGACUCGGUUUUAGCUAAAUAAAUAAAGUAUUUCAUAAUCUUUCAGUUUCGACAAUGUUUGGUCACCGAAAGCCCUACUGAACUGUAAUCUCUAGCAGAUAGCAGUCGAAUUUUAUUUUCCACCUUCCGGGUGACGGAUUAACAUGAAACUUUAAAUCUAGCCUCACAAAAAUAAUUCUGACAUAUUCUCCAGUUAUCAUAAUUUUCUGACACUGUAGAUUUUCUGCUAAAAUAUCAGUCCUGUUUCUCACAGAAAAUUCUAAAUCUUCUGUUUUCGUUCCGAUUUUAGCACGAGUCGUUUUCGACUUAUAUUUUACUUCUCUAAAUCUAAUAAAAAUAGUAUCUCACACUAUUUAUGUUUAUAUUUAUAUUUAUAUUAAAAAUCUGAUAUAUUACACUCCACCGUAAUUUCAUAACUUCAGAAGUUCGGCACCUUACACAUACACCGUAACUUCAUAACUUUAUAAGUUCGGUAUGUUACACUUUUCCAUCCUUAAAAAGAGUUUCGUCCUCAAAACUCAAACCACUUUAAACUCAACUCAUACCUCAACUCGGUUUAUU
rnacentral:lncRNA from 1 species